rnacentral:tRNA from 1 species
GCCUAGCUGGCUCAGUCGGUAGAGCAUGGAACUCUUGAAACUGCAAUCAUGAGUUUGAACCCCAUGUUGGGUA